UCCCAUGUGACAAGAGAGGAAGAAGAGGCUGGAGCGACACUCCCACAAGCCAAGGACCACCAAGGAAAACUGCAUUUACUGGGAAGAGUCUCUACUGCUCUGAGAACACCUCCCCCCCACCGCCCCCCAGUUCACCUUGGGUUGGAUGGGUUUUCCAGACCAGGUUUGGUCCCUUUCCCUACCUCCAAAGUAGUCCUGUGGCUUCCAAAGGCACUCCAGAACCAGAAUCAGCUGUCUGACACCUUGAACUCUGGACCAGAGCUGCCUGAACAUGACGUUCACAUCAGGAAGAGCAUUGUUUGGAAGCACCCCAAAUGUUCUGCGGUAGAUGACUGAAGGACGGAAGGAAGCUGGUGGGCUGUGAGCUGUCCUAUGGAGAGACCCAUAUGGCAAGAAAGAGGGUGGCCUCUGGCCAAGAGUCCACAAAGAAUGGAAACUUACCAAUCACCACUUAAGUGAUUUUGGCAGCUGGUCUAUCUUCAACUGAGCCUUGAGGUGACUGAGACCUUGUGAGAAACCCAGAGCCAGAGGACCCAGUUAAGAUGCUCCUUGGAUUCCUGACCCACAGAACCCUCUCGAUAAUAAAUGUUGCUGUUUUAAGUCA